rnacentral:rRNA from 1 species
GACGAACGCUGGCGGCGUGCCUAAUACAUGCAAGUCGUACGCACUCUCGUUUAGAUUGAAGGAGCUUGCUCCUGAUUGAUAAACAUUUGAGUGAGUGGCGGACGGGUGAGUAACACGUGGGUAACCUGCCCUAAAGUGGGGGAUAACAUUUGGAAACAGAUGCUAAUACCGCAUAAAACCUAACACCGCAUGGUGUAGGGUUGAAAGAUGGUUUCGGCUAUCACUUUAGGAUGGACCCGCGGUGCAUUAGUUAGUUGGUGAGGUAAAGGCUCACCAAGACCGUGAUGCAUAGCCGACCUGAGAGGGUAAUCGGCCACACUGGGACUGAGACACGGCCCAGACUCCUACGGGAGGCAGCAGUAGGGAAUCUUCCACAAUGGACGAAAGUCUGAUGGAGCAACGCCGCGUGAGUGAAGAAGGUUUUCGGAUCGUAAAACUCUGUUGUUGGAGAAGAAUGUAUCUGAUAGUAACUGAUCAGGUAGUGACGGUAUCCAACCAG